AACGAACGCUGGCGGCAGGCUUAACACAUGCAAGUCGAGCGCCCCGCAAGGGGAGCGGCAGACGGGUGAGUAACGCGUGGGAAUCUACCCAUCUCUACGGAAUAACGCAUGGAAACGUGUGCUAAUACCGUAUACGUCCUUCGGGAGAAAGAUUUAUCAGAGAUGGAUGAGCCCGCGUUGGAUUAGCUAGUUGGUGGGGUAAAGGCCUACCAAGGCGACGAUCCAUAGCUGGUCUGAGAGGAUGAUCAGCCACACUGGGACUGAGACACGGCCCAGACUCCUACGGGAGGCAGCAGUGGGGAAUAUUGGACAAUGGGCGCAAGCCUGAUCCAGCCAUGCCGCGUGAGUGAUGAAGGCCCUAGGGUUGUAAGGCUCUUUCACCGGUGAAGAUAAUGACGGUAACCGGAGAAGAAGCCCCGGCUAACUUCGUGCCAGCAGCAGCCGCGGUAA
rnacentral:rRNA from 1 species